GUGACCUCAAAUCAGGUAGGACUACCCGCUGAACUUAAGCAUAUCAAUAAGCGGAGGAAAAGAAACUAACAAGGAUUCCCCUAGUAACUGCGAGUGAAGCGGGAAAAGCUCAAAUUUAAAAUCUGGCGGUCUUUUGGCUGUCCGAGUUGUAAUGCUAGAGAAG
rnacentral:rRNA from 1 species